rnacentral:rRNA from 1 species
GAUGAACGCUGGCGGCGUGCCUAAUACAUGCAAGUCGAGCGAACAGACGAGGAGCUUGCUCCUCUGACGUUAGCGGCGGACGGGUGAGUAACACGUGGAUAACCUACCUAUAAGACUGGGAUAACUUCGGGAAACCGGAGCUAAUACCGGAUAAUAUAUUGAACCGCAUGGUUCAAUAGUGAAAGACGGUUUUGCUGUCACUUAUAGAUGGAUCCGCGCCGCAUUAGCUAGUUGGUAAGGUAACGGCUUACCAAGGCGACGAUGCGUAGCCGACCUGAGAGAGUGAUCGGCCACACUGGAGCUGGGACACGGUCCAGACUCCUGCGGGAGGCAGCAGUAGGGAACCUUCCGCAGUGGGCGAAAGCCUUACGGAACAACGCAGCGUGAGAGAUGAAGGUGUUCGGAUCGUAAAACUCUGUUAUGAGGGAAGAACAAAUGUGAAAGUAACUAUGCACGUCUUGACGGUACCUAAACAGAAAGCAACGGCUAACUACGUG